rnacentral:misc_RNA from 1 species
GUGAAUCAUCGAAUCUUUGAACGCACAUUGCACUUUCUGGUAUUCUGGAAAGUAUGCCUGUUCGAGGGUCAGUUAAAUCAUAAUCGGCGUUGUUGCUGGUUUUCGUGGUGACGCGACGGAUUCGAGUUGUCUUACCUUCGGUUAAGUGACUUAAAAUUUUGCAUGAUUUUCGCACGUCUUUAUAUUACUUACGUACGUUUGAGAUAUCGAAUACUUUAUUAGGUUCGGUCAUCCUCAUGAUUAGCACCUAU